rnacentral:rRNA from 1 species
UACGUAGGGUGCAAGCGUUGUCCGGAAUUAUUGGGCGUAAAGAGCUCGUAGGCGGCUUGUCACGUCGGGUGUGAAAGCCCCGGGGCUUAACCCCGGGUCUGCAUUCGAUACGGGCUAGCUAGAGUGUGGUAGGGGAGAUCGGAAUUCCUGGUGUAGCGGUGAAAUGCGCAGAUAUCAGGAGGAACACCGGUGGCGAAGGCGGAUCUCUGGGCCAUUACUGACGCUGAGGAGCGAAAGCGUGGGGAGCGAACAGG